CAGUGUUCCAACAUAAAAUUCUUUCUCAAAAAUGGUGCUUUGGAAGCGAAUUAGUACGAAUUUUGAGUUUAUUAAAAAUUACUUUUUUUAAGCUUUGCAAGUGGAAAAUACUGUUUUUCAUUGUAGAAAAAAUACCACGCACCAAAAUCAGUAAAAAAUGAUAUGAAAUUGGUUCGGGAUGAAUUUCAAUCGAAAGCAAGCGAUUCACUGUAAUAACUAGUGACUGUUCAAGUUCGACUGGCAGCAGUACAGCGAGGCUGAUUGCCUGAUAGUUUCGCUCGAAUGAAUAUCAAAUAUUCUGAUACAAUUGACAAUGAGUGUAAGCGUUAAAUGGUCUGUGAUUAGUAGACAACGUUCACUUAUACGGCUCAUAGCAACGAUUUAUACAGCACCAUUGUAACAGCAUUCCAAUGUACGUCCGCAUGGUUGAUUCCGUAUUUGUUGCGAGAUAAUGAGAGCCAUUGGAAAACGAUCAAAAUCCACAACCAAUAAUUACUUUACAGAUUCGAGGACCCUUACGAUUAAAACAUUAUGAUAUCACGCACCAAAUCCAGAUCGAAAAUAUACAUAUAUCGAUAGCUAAGGAAUUACGCAAUUGGUUCAAAUUUGGAAAAUCAACCGAUUACGGAAUUAUUAAUAAUUUUUUGAUUGAGCAGCUCCUGAUGGUGAUAAUGAAACGAAAGGCGAAUCCAAUUUUUUAGAUCAGGAAUAUUCUAUUGAUUAUAUAAUUGUAAGUGAAAUUGAUAUGCCAAAUACAAUGGGAGGAAAUGACAGCAAAUUUUAAAAUUGGCGCGCUGUUUAGUUUCGAUUUGAGUUGUAAAAUUACAUUGACGUCCCCUUUGAAAUUCGGUGCGCCACCGUCGGCUCAAAGAGACUUGAAGUCUUCACAUCCUCUCAUUGGCCAAAUACUGUAAUAUGAUUUUAAAUAUGUUAACACUCCCUUUUUCUCAUUUUUUUAAAUUUAAAACAUUAAAAACAUUUUAAUUUUGAUAUUUUUUCUUAAAAAUA